CCUGCCCUCCGCCCCGGGCCCAGGCCCGGGCCCCGCCGGCCGGCCGAGUGGGGAGGGGACGGGGUCACUCGGACCAGGAAGUGGGGAUCCUGUUGCUCCGGGUGUGUCUGGGGAGCUCCCGUUCUUCUCUCGAUGGGCUUGAGCAGAGGUGGGUUUUGAAGGAAUUAGAGAAAAAAUAAAUCUAAAGAUGCCCUGCGUUCGAAAUAGGACCAGGGUACACGGUAGUGAAAAGGACAGGUCAGCAGUCUCUUACCACCUGCGUCUCAGUCAGUCCAGUCAGAACGUAAACUUAGAUUUCGGCGCAGUUUUGUGUUGCAUAUUCGUUUCUUAUUUUUACGUAAAAUGGCCUUUAAUUUUGGAUGAGAUGCUACGAGAAUAUAAUCUGUAGGGUAGCUCUUAAGCGCUCGAGACAGGCUUCCUGCCUGCACUGUAAUUUGUCCUAAUGGUAAAUGGAAGUUUGAAGUUUUGGGUAGCCGAGGAAACCGAAGGAUCUCCUGGCACUGUGUAGGGAAAUUACUUGGUAAGUGUGAGGGUUUUAAAAAUGGAUAAUGCCAAGUUGAAGAUGAGUAUUGUAAAUAUACAAAUUACUUUCCCUUUUGAAAGUUUUUUUUCUUAUGCUACUUAACUGGUCUCUUAAGUUGUGUUAAGAAUUUAAAAUGCACUUGAAAUAGGUGCGAGUUGUGCUUUGCGAAACGGGGGAGGGGAAGAGAUGUUCACUGGUGCACUGUGAGCAAUGUGCAAUUUCCAUACUUCCCCACCUGCCCGGCUCCCUCUAAUUUACAGUCAGGGUAAUUUACAGAAGUUGAAAUGGUUGUGGCUUUUAAAUUUUCCUCUGUAUUUAGUAUAGGGAGAGGCAGUUUGAUGAAACAAGCCAUGAGAGAGAGCCCUUGCCUAGAGUUUGCUUGGGUUGCUAAAGUGAAAUACUUUCUGAGAGGCAUCAGAUUAGCAAGUUUAUUAUUUAACCAUAAAGUUGAUUUGUUUAUUUCCCUUUGAAACUUGUCUUUGGUUAGAGAUAAAUUUCAUUCUAUAUUUUGAAACAUUAAUGUGACCCGACUUAUUUACAUGGAAGAAUGGCAUGACGUCUUACUGGUUACAAAUGACUUACCUCUCUUGGCACCUCACUGUUCUCAUCUCUAGAAUGGGAUAGUAAGGUCAGUCUCUUAGGGCUGUUGUUAACAACUUGGGUGUAAAUUAAUAGUUUCUUAUUAAAACUUUUGAAAAUGUUUACCUUAUUACUAUUUUCAAAAUUCUUUAUGUGACUGUCAAUUUUAAUUUUUUAGAGAGUUUUCGUUUUGGUGUAAUAUGGUGGUUUGUUUUUGUUUGGUCACAUGUAUCUGGGCAGAGAAAGCCAGUCCUGAGGAUAAAAUGUAUAUUUUGAGAAAGGAGUGACACUGUAUUUGAGUAGGAGCCAGAGAGAAAAUAGAUGAUAAUGCGAGAGCUAGCCUUCAUUUUAACGUGUUUGUGGAAGGGUAGCUGAAGUUAGGUGGCAGCAUAUUCAGGGAGAUAGUGAUUUUACUUAGGUUUCCAGGGAUUGUGCUUUCAAAGAAGUUGAGAGUUGGAGAAUUUAUUGACCUUAAUAUUAUUUCCAUAAAUAAGCAUAAGUUUUGACAAAUACAUAUUAAACUCUGCAGACACAGUGACCUAUUUGUAUAAAACAGUCUUCAUAUUAUCAUAAAACAUAGUUCUAAAAUAAGAAAAGUGCAAGUUGGGAGCAGCAGGCUGUUAACAGUAAUACAAUAAACUACUGUCAGGCAGCUUCUCUCCUGUUCAGUGGAUUUGCAACAGUAGUUACAAGUUUUUUUGGUCUAGACCUAUGGUCCUGUUUCCCAAGUUCGAAGUGGCUGACAGACAAGGUCCUUCCACUGUUAUUUCAAAGUGUGAUGCUGGAUUCAUGCUCUCCACGCAGUAAGUGGGGUCAUAAUUUUGGUCAUCUGGUUUUAGUAACAUGGGCUCUCUGAUGGUCCCUGGGGAUUGUUAAAAGCAGUACAGAUCUGUGUUACUUGAGCUUCCAUUUGUUGUCCUCACCUGAAAGGCACAAGGUGUAAAUAUGCUUGUGUGACCUCAUCGUUUUGCUCUUCCCGAGUUCUCUUGUACUUAAAGAUUUUUUCAGUUAGAUAAAUGCCAGAAAAUCUCAGCAUAUUCUUGAAUGAAAUUCUUCCGAUCAGGCCGUUGACUCAACCUUUUUUAAUGGAAAGAAGAAAACACUGAAGUUGUUUUUAUGGAAAAUACAUUGUUAAAAACUGACGCUGUUGCUGAGCUUUGUUGCUUUUGCUCUUUUGUAAAACUUUAUUCCUGUUAAGAGUUCUGUUUUUUCCGUAAAAGCUAAUUUUAGAGAACACAGUAAAUGAGACACUGCCUUCUGAGAAACUCACCCGAUCUGAUUGUAGUUUGGUUCAGUUCGGACUGUUUGCUAAUGGUUGGACUUGCUGGUGUCUUUGGAGCUAGUCUGCUUCUCCUGGCAUUACCUUGAUUAGAAAAUGAAUUUCUUUAUUAGAAUAUGGAAUUGCGAAGUGGAAAGCUAUUAGGUUCUCCUCCUAGAAGGAAGAUAAUUCCAAUGUGGAAAUUUUUUUUCCCUAAUGAUCCAACGCUUUAUUUUUCCUGCAUGUAAAUAUGUCUUUAAUCUUCGUAACUGGUAAGAAAAGUAUCUACUCUGCCCUGUCUCUUCCUUUACCUUCCCCCACCCCGCAGCCCCUUUUGUCCCUUCUGUGCUUCCGUAGACUGACUUUCCCCAUUCUCUGGGAGCCGCCCUGGGGCAGGUAGUAAGGGCGGCAGGUGAGUCGUGGUUCGGUUUUGUCUUUAGUGUCCGCCCUACUUCCCUGAUAGUGAGACCUGGGUCAUAGAGUGAAUUGUAUAACACGAAGGACAUUUCAUAAUUUGACUCAAAUUUAAAAGCUGCUAUUUAGAGAGAGUUUGAUAAUCCUUAGGAUGAGACUUAGUCUUCACUAUAAAUGUUCUUUAUGAAAUCUGAUAUGCAAAUGUUUUGGCUUAAACACUUAUAAAUUAGGAUAGUAUUUGUGUGACAGAAAUAACGUGUCUCUUUUUACAGCACGCCGUUUUAGUCACACUAUGGCCAGAGGCCCCUUUAAAAGCAUAUCCUGUUUGUUAGGCCCUUUUUAAAACGCCUCAGUGACCAUCCCCUGCCUAAAUAAGAAAAGCCCAGGGGCCUGGGCACUUCUGCCUCCCCCGUGCUGGCUGGGCCACCUUUGCGGGGCCUGGACUGGCCACUGCCUCUGUCUCAGAACCGUGAUGCCUCGUCUCUGCUCCCUGUAGUUUCUUUGCUGGGAAUUGAAUGCCUUUUUUUUUUUUUUUUAACUUAAAUUUUGCUCUUUAUUCCAUCCUUAUAAAGGUAUUUCAGGAGUCUUUCAAGGGUCCUUGCCUUAAUUUCUAAAGUCCAGCUCAGUGCUUCUGUAUCACCUUAGGCACAGCACCUAAUUACUGUAAAAAGCUCCUUGUGGGUGAGAUGGUUUUUUUGUAACCUCUUUGCCCAGCUCAGGUCCAGGCCCCUACGGAUCUUCCUCCCUGGAUGAUGGGCUCCUGUCCUGCUAGACCUCUCGGAAAGGACUCCGCUUUCAUCAGAUUUCCCAAAAGAUCUUUGACCUCUACCUUCAGUACAAAAAACGUUUUAGCAUGUGUUUACCACUUAGGAACUUCUUCAAGGAUUUGUUAUUUUAAUAAUUAAAUGUAAUUUUUAAUUGUCAACA